UGAUAUGCUGAAUCUAACAAUGUAUUUAGAUUUUGGAUAUUGGACCAUAAUAGGUAAUGUCCAAUUUAAAAUUUAAAGUUUUUAAGUUUAAGUUCUUAGACCACAUUCAUUAUGUGUCAGAAACCUAUGUUGUGUCAACUAUUUAAUCACAAUCCAAAUUCAGAGCUGUAUCAAGCUUGAAUGUUGUGUCCAUGCUUGCCC
rnacentral:lncRNA from 1 species